GUGCCAGCCGCCGCGGUAAUACGAAAGGUGCAAGCGUUACUCGGAAUCACUGGGCGUAAAGCGCGCGUAGGCGGACUCGUAGGUCAGUUGUGAAAUACCUGGGCUCAACCCGGGAACUGCAGCUGAAACCGCUUGUCUUGAAUACUUGAGAGGGUGGGGGAAUACCUGGUGGAGAAGUGAAAUUCGUAGAGAUCAGGUGGAACACCGGAGGCGAAGGCGCCUGCCUGGCAAUGUAUUGACGCUGAGGCGCGAAAGUGCGGGGAGCAAACAGGAUUAGAUACCCUGGUAGUCCGCACCGUAAACGAUGGAUACUAGGCGUUCGGAGAGUUAACCCUCUGAGUGCCAAAGUUUACACAUUAAGUAUCCCGCCUGGGAAGUACGGUCGCAAGACUAAAACUCAAAGGAAUUGACGGGGGCCCGCACAAGCGGUGGAGUAUGUGGUUUAAUUCGAAGCAACGCGCAGAACCUUACCUGGCCUUGACAUCGCGAGACCGGUGCAGAGAUGCAUCUUUCCCUUCGGGGACUCGUAGACAGGUGCUGCAUGGCUGUCGUCAGCUCGUGUUGUGAAAUGUUCGGUUAAGUCCGGCAACGAGCGCAACCCCUGUCCUUAGUUACCAGCAUUAAGUUGGGGACUCUAGGGAGACCGCCGGUGUUAAACCGGAGGAAGGCGGGGAUGACGUCAAGUCCUCAUGGCCCUUACGGCCAGGGCUACACACGUACUACAAUGGUAGAAACAGACGGCUGCAAGACCGCAAGGUGGAGCUAAUCCGUAAAACACUAUCUCAGUCCGGAUUGAAGUCUGCAACUCGACUUCAUGAAGUCGGAAUCGCUAGUAAUCGCGAAUCAGCAUGUCGCGGUGAAUACGUUCCCGGGCCUUGUACACACCGCCCGUCACACCAUGGGAGUUUACUGCACCAGAAGCCGGUAGCUUAACCGCAAGGGGGGCGCCGUCCACGGUGUGGUCGAUGACUGGGGUGAAGUCGUAACAAGGUAACC
rnacentral:rRNA from 1 species